rnacentral:lncRNA from 1 species
CCUUUUCCAAUUUUCUAAAUUGACCCAAUAAUGUUCUUUAUAGGAUUUUUUCUUCUACUACAGCAUCUAGUCUAGCAUUUCACAUUACCAUAUCUCUUUAGUCCAAUCUCUUUAGUGUCCUUCUUUCUAAUUUUUGAGAUGGAGUCUCGCUCUGUCGUCCAGGCUGGAGUGCAGUGGCAUGAUCUCGGCUCACUGCAACCUCCCUGGUUCAAGCAAUUCUCCUGCCUCAGUUUAGUGUCCUUUAAUCUGGAACAUUUCCCUAGCCAAAAGCUAUAAUUUUUAUCAAAGAUAUUAAAGAAUAAUGCAUUCUUUUUCCCACCACGGGCCUCACCAACUUAGACUGUAUGUUGAAGAACAAUGUCACCUCAGCCUCUCUCCAAACCACAAUUUAACCAAUCAUUUCAAACUGUAUUUGACAUGUGAUAUCAAUUCUAGAUUAUAUUUCCCUAUGUGUUGUUUAUACCAAAGGUGAAAGAAAUAAACAAAACCAAAAGCUUCUCAAUUCUUUGCUUUGUAUUCCAGAGAUAAGAGCAAUGAGCAUAUUGCAGAGAAUCUGUGAGCUUACUGGCUCUUUAGGAAUAGCAUCUUUUAGUAUAUUCAUUUAAAAGUUUAAGGUUUUAGAGAACACUUAUCUGAUAUUCAUUAUUCUUCAAAGUGUCUUUGUAGGAAAAUUUUUAAGCAGCAGUGUCCAUUUUACUUUCCAGCUUGAAAAAAAUAUCAGAGGCACACAUAUUGAAGAACUGCUUGGUAAAUGACAAAGCCAAAUUAAAUCACUAAAGAAAUUGAAGCUGUGGAAAAUCAGUAGCAUUGUUUUUAUUUUCUACAUACUAACAAGACAGUCUAAAUAACUCAGGAAUAGCUGCUGUGUCAAAUCUCUUGCUGGGGUCUUCUGUUGAAGAAUGUUUAGCAUCUAUUCUCUUCUCUAACAUCCAGCUUUCUCUCUUGCCCUCCUCUUCCCACUCCCCAGAUGUGCAAAAAACAUUUGAACACAAGCUGCACAGUAAGGCCUUGAGGCUGCAGCUUCAAUACCCUUUUCAUGAUACAACCCGAAGAAUCACACCCACCACCUCUCAUGAUCACCCUGGAAUUCAUGUUCUCUGAGUGGGCAACUCUCGAUGAAGACUUGCCUAGUUGUUCUACAUAACUGCUUGGACCAGAGCCUGUGAGAAAGAGCGAAUAGCUUGUAAAUGUGACUGCAGACUUAACCAGGACAGCAAAACAUAGAACACUUUUUCAGUUCCACCCAGAUUGCAAACAUUGGUUUAGAGUUUUCCACCAAAUAUUUUGCCAUGACCUCAGUUAUUUGGCUGCUCUCAACACACAAAAAAAGAGCAAGGAAGAUGUUGUUUCUGAUGUGUGGUAUCUAGCUGGGUGGGUGUAUUCUUACUGUGGUCUGUGGGUAGUAAUAGCCAGCACUUAUCAAAUACUAACCUGUGGCAGCCACUAUGCCAAGGGCUUUUUGCAUAUAUUAACUUCUUCAAUGCUCACAAAAAACCUAUAAGGUGUGUGAAAUUAUUAUCCCUAUUCUAAAGAUGAGGAAACUGAGACACAAGAGAAACAGUAACACUCAGAUUCACAAACUGAUUAAGUUUAAUGUCUCUACUACUUUCCAAUGGAAAGUGCUGUGGACUGAAUAUUUGUGACCCCCAAAAUGCUAUGUUGAAGUCCUAAUCCCCAGUGUGACGGGUGGGGCCUUUGGGAGGUAAUUGGGUUUAGAGGAGGUCAUGGAGGUGGGGCACCUUUGAUGAGAUUGGUGCCCUUAAAGAGCAUGGAAAGACCAAAGUGAUCUCUCUCUCUUUCUCUCUCUCUCUCUCUCUCUCUCUCCCCCCUCUCUGUCUCUCCCACUCCCCUCCAUGGGAGGAUACAGCAAAAAACCAGCCAUCUAGAAACCAGGGAAGGUCCCUCACCAAGAACUCAACUAUGUUGCCACCUCAAUCUUGGACUUUCAGCUUCCAUAAAGACCUGUGCCACAGUGACUAUUUCUAGAGCGCCACCUGAAAACUCUAGAACAGGGAGAAGACAUCGCAAGGGUGCUGACAACCCACUCAGCAGUGAGGAAGUAACAGCUGUGGGAACUUUCAAAAUCAGAGCAAUGUUGAUCACCCUGCAUGUGCAAACCAAAUAUAGUGACUAGUCAAAUCUAAUGACUAGAAUGAAAUUUCUCAUGUGGAAUGGAAAACUUUUGGUCCAUAUCAAUUCUAUAAACUGACAGGCUGAAAUACCCAAUCAGUCUAUAUUCUGAAAUCUACUGAGUCAAAGAAGCAAAUCCUGAAAUAGCAAACCACUAUAAUUAGGUAUAGAUUCACUCCAUAAUAGGACCCUAUAAACAAUGAAAAGAGAUUGUGUAAUUUGGAAGAAAAUGUCAUUCAAUUAUAUAUAAGGGAAGCAAACUGUGUUUGGAUUUAGAAAGCAAGUUAUUUGCCAGGACAUAAGACUAACAAUUUAUUAGGAUAAUUACUGCAUAAUUUAUAUGGCUUGAAGGUUAAGGAUUUUUAAAUAAAGUUAGUUAGCAUAAGAUAUUUCAAUUGCUUAACUUAGUUAUAAUCCCUUCUCUGCCCUCCCACUUAUCUGCUGUGUGAACCUGGGCAAUUAACUUUCCUAUGUUAAGUUGUCACAUCUUAAAAUGAAAUAGUAGCAAUUUACCUCAUAUUUUACUUAUUGACCUAUAUGAUGCCAAGUGCAAGGCUUCUAAGCACACCACAAAUAUUAAUUUCUUUAUUCUUUGUAACAAUUCCCUGAGCUGAGAAACAUUUUUAUCUCCUCUUUAGAGAUGAAGAAACUGGGGCAAAGAGCAGUUUGGUUAUCUCACCCAAGAUCACACAACUAGUAAGGUGUGUAGCAGGGCUUCCUUCCCAGGGUGUCUGGCUCUGAGGUUGAGAUUUAGUCACCUCACUAUGCAUAGUGGACAGAAUACUGUUGUCAUCUUAGCAAACACAGAACAGGAUUGCAAUUGCAAAUGGCUAACUAAAGAAAUAAGAAUGAAAAGAAAUGGAACUUGAACACACCUGUCCCAGGAAGAUGACAUAAUGUGGAGCCUCAUGAUAUCACUCCAAUUUGUACCAUGCAACUUGGGGAAUUAUUUUUGCAGGAACAAAAAGAAGAGCUGUCUUUUGUAAGUUAGAAAGCUUUUGGAAGAGAUUAACACCAGGAGUUAUUAAAGGGCAGGCAAGAGGGAGAGACAUACCAGGGGAGUGGUAUGGGAAGGAGAGAGAGGACUGUGGCUCCUGGAGGUGAAUGGUACCCAUGCUGUGCUUCAUGGUGCAAUCUCAGUCAGGCUGGCUACUUCCUGGGAUAAGAGAGCAAGAAUUUCGGCAGUGAGUUGCCAGCUUUGGCAAGGAUUCCUGAGCCUCACAUGCCAUCUGGAAGGAAAGAACUUCUCAACCUCAAGGGGCCACCAAGACCCAAGACUAUAAAGUCAUCAGGGAUAUUAUGAGAGGGAGAUUAAAGGUACUUCUCCAUCUUCUGGGAAAUUGAAGAGAUGAAAGAAUGGAGAGGUAUGAUGCUGAGAGGCAGAAGGGACUCCAAUAAUGAUUGAGGUGGAAUUUACUGUCUAUUCCCUAUGACAGCCGUCCCCAGCAUUUUUGACACCAGGGACAGGUUUCAUGGAAGGCAAUCUUCCCACAGAUGUGGGAGAGGGGUGGGAAGGAUUCAAGUGCAUUACAUUUAUUGUGCACUUUACUUCUGUUAUGAUUACAUCCUCACCAUAAUGUAGAAUCAGUGGGAGCCCUGAGCUUGUUUUCCUGCAACUAGACGGUCCCAUCUGGGGGUGAUGGGAGGCAGUGACAGAUUAUCAGGCAUUAGAUUUUCAUAAGGAGUAUGCAACCUAGAUCCCUCACAUGCACAGUUCAUAAUAGGGUUCGUACUCCCAUAAGAACCUAAUGCUGCUGCUGAUCUGACAGGAGGCAGGGCUCAGCUUCACUUACCCACUGCUCACCUCCUGCUGUGUGGCCUGCUUCCUAACAGGCCACAGACUGGUACUGGUCUGUGGCUCAGGGGUUGGGGACUCCUGCCCUAUCACGUAGGUUCAGAGUUGAAAUCAAAUUAAAUUAAAGGCAAUAAGGUGGUAUUUCUCACACCUCUGGAUGUAGGGACUAGGAUGCAUACCUGUUACAAAGAUGCUGUGAAAGUUCAAAAGAAGGAUUAGUACCUUCUAUCUGAAAGAGAGGGAUGCAGAUAUUUCAGCUAGGUCUUGAAGGCUGGGGGGUGACCUAUGGCAGAGACAAAGGAGGAUGUUCCAGACAGAAAAACAAGCAGAAGCAAAGGUAGAGGGGAAGAAUAUAUGCAAACUCCUUGGGAGAUGAGGAAUAUUCUAGAUUAUCCAGAGAAGGGGGGAUACAAAAAUAUAGGACCAUGUGAAUACUGAAUGUUUGAUUAUAUUAAUGAAUUGAUGUUUGGGGAGUUUACAGAAUGUACUGUAUUUACAUGUAACAAUUUUAGACAAUAUCUAGAAGUUUCAUACAGAAAUGUUUACAACACAAUGGUGGAAAGUUUGGGGUCUGGGAGAAACCAGUGGAAGUACAGAUGAAAUAAGAUAGACCAUGCUGUGAUCGUAGCUGAAGCAAGAUGAUGGAUUGUAAGGGUAACAUGAUGAAAUCAGGACAAGGCAGCUGCUUCUCACUCUUCUCUCCUUGAAAACAUAAUCCACCCCAAAGAGGCCCAACCUCUUGGUUUUUAUUGCCAAGUUGUAGGCUUUUUGACCCUUGGAACUGUAAGCACCUAUUUAUGAAUUUAACUCAGUAGUCUCCCAGGAGGUAUACAGAAGACAGUCCCAAGGAGCAAACAUUUAUCUCUCAAGAAGAUGAAAAGAGUUUAGCUAUUCUUUCUCCUACUUUACUGUAUAACUUUGUGUGAAAUUCUGUCCAGACUGCAGUCAUUUUUGUGCCGUCUUAUGUACAUAAAUCUGCUAGUGCUUACCCAAUAAUAAAUUGUGCUCUUGCUUUAUUCUGUAUUGGUACAGAGGGGUCAGGGCCAGGAUUGCCUCAUUUCUCCAAAAGAAUAUAUGAGAGUUUAUUAAUAAUAUUUUCUCUAUAUUUGUACAUAUUUGAAAUUCUCUAUAGUAAAACAUUUUUUAAAAUGAUAUUUGAUCAUUUCAGAUACUCCAGCAAGAUAAGAAUCAAGAAAUUGCCAUCAAAUUUGGCAACUAGGAGGGCAAUGGUGACCUUGGAGGAAAGAGGAGAAUGGGAAAAUGAAAGCUUUACUGAAAAGGAGUCAAUGGGAGGAGAUAGAGAAAGCAAUGAGUACAGAUUGCUCCUUUUCAAGACAUUUGGUAGAGAGAAAGAAGGGAGAAGGUGAAGUAGAUGGAAGGAUUCUUUUAGAGUAGGACAAAUCAAUUUGGGAGAAUUCUCAGUGAAAAAUGAGCCUGAAAAAUGGAGAUUAAAGCUGUAGUCUAGAAGAAGAAUAAUUGAUGGGCGAUAUCCCAGAAGAGCUGUGAGAAGAUGAGAUGCAGGACUUUUCUCCCGUCUAUUUUCCAAAAGUAAUCAAAGCAACCUUUUGGUUUUGGUUUUGCCCAGUUUAGAAAUAUUAUCACAAGUAUAAUUCAUAUACAAUGAAUAAAAUUUAGAAAAUACAGAUAAGUAACAUUUUUAAGCAUGGGUAAUCUCAUUUUGCUAAAGGUCUCUCCAGGCCAUCUGCUAUCUGUUUGCUUAUGUAUAUGUUAACAUGUACACAAACAAACACACUAAUGCAAUCAUAUUAUGCAGACAACUCUGCAGUCCAAUUUUUUUCAUGUAAUGAAUUGUGAAAUCCUUCCUAUAUCAAUAAGCACAAUAAUCUUUUUAAAAAAAAAAACUCUAGUUGUUAUCACCUUCCCUGCUUAAUAAAGUAUUUCACUGGCCAAAUACUAUAUUUAGAAAUAAAAAAUCCAAUCUGCAUAAUUUGAUCUACAGCCCUGAGUGAUCUGGCCUCAGCCUCACCUGACAUCACUUUAUGCCUUGAUCAUUUUGUUCCAAACACGCUUUCUUGCAGUUCCUCGAACUCACAAACUUUCUUGAUUCUCUGUUCCUCUGCCCAGAUUGUCCUUUUUGAGACUCUUUGCAUGGCUAAGUCCUGAUCCUCUGGGUCUCUCUUCUCUGUAUAGUCAAAUGAAAGUCCAGUUUCCUGAAUGGUGACCAUGGAUCCUGACUUACCUGGCAUAGUCUGGUUUUCACCUGUUUUUCCAAUAUAAUACUUAAUGAUGCCUCCUUCCACUCUCAAGAGUGCCCCAGUUUGGAUAAUGAAUUACAGAGUUACUCCACUCAUAGCCCCUGGAUCUUUCCCUUCACAGCAGUCAUUGCAAUUUGUAAUUAUGAAAUUGUCUCUUCAUUUACCUAUUUGCUGUGUGUCAUUUAUUAGCCCAUAAUCUCAGUAACAGUGGGAAAAAAAUUGGUAUCCACUACAUAGAUCUAGUCCUUGGGCUUUGACCCUUGCUAAACAUUGGUAAACGUAGGUGGAGCAUUAAAUGGGACAGCCUUGAUAAAUUAGACUGAGGGGAGUUGGGGAAGAGGUGCAGGAGACAGAAGCUGGGCUGAAGUGACCUGAGGAAAGUGAAAAUGUGUAGGAAUUCCACAGAUAGGAGAAGCAAUUGAUUUUUAUAGUCACUGUUAAAAUUUACUUAUCUGUUUCUGGAGAGAAUGUGGAGAAAUAGGAACACUUUUACACUGUUGGGGGGAGUGUAAGUUAGUUCAACCAUUGUGGAAGACAGUGUGGGA